rnacentral:rRNA from 1 species
GACGAACGCUGGCGGCGUGCCUAAUACAUGCAAGUAGAACGCUGAAGCGAGGAGCUUGCUCUUCUUGGAUGAGUUGCGAACGGGUGAGUAACGCGUAGGUAACCUGCCUGGUAGCGGGGGAUAACUAUUGGAAACGAUAGCUAAUACCGCAUAAAAUUGAUUAUUGCAUGAUAAUUAAUUGAAAGAUGCAACUGCAUCACUACCAGAUGGACCUGCGUUGUAUUAGCUAGUUGGUGAGGUAACGGCUCACCAAGGCGACGAUACAUAGCCGACCUGAGAGGGUGAUCGGCCACACUGGGACUGAGACACGGCCCAGACUCCUACGGGAGGCAGCAGUAGGGAAUCUUCGGCAAUGGGGGGAACCCUGACCGAGCAACGCCGCGUGAGUGAAGAAGGUUUUCGGAUCGUAAAGCUCUGUUGUAAGAGAAGAACGGGUGUGAGAGUGGAAAGUUCACACUGUGACGGUAGCUUACCAGAAAGGGACGGCUAACUACGUG